rnacentral:lncRNA from 1 species
UAACAUGCAUUCAAUUAGAGUUUAGCACAUGCAAUCAGUUAAUUAUAUUUAUCUUCAUUCUUAUAUUAAAUUAGUUUAGCACAUGCAUUCAAUUUUCAAGAUUAUUAUGAAGUUUAUGAAGGGGUAAAUAUGAUGGCUCAAGAAUUAAUGAGAGCUUUUUUAGAUGACAAUCACCUAUUUUGUUUUUUAUAUGAGGAUUUUAAGGACCUCUUUUUUUUGUGUAUUUUUUUCUUUUAAUUUUUCAAAUCUCAUUCGCUUUUUUGUUUUCUC